UUAUGUAUAGCAAAAUACCAAAGUCAAAUUGCCGAACACAACCAAGGAGACUCAGUGCACAGUCUCUCACCAGAUUGCAUUGGUCAUGCAAAGGUGCACAGCAUACCUCUUUAUUACUUGCUGAACAAGCUGUGAGAAAACUGAAUAUUUAUGUAGCUUCAAUUAAGUGCUAUCAGCCAUUACUUCUGCCCUCGGCAAUUGUGGACUAUUAUCACGGCUUUUCUUUUUCUAACUCAUUUUGCUUAUUAUAGAGGGAUUACUGCCUGUGUUCAUAGGAAAUAAAUCACAUGGGCAAUCAAACGCCAAGAAUGUAUAAACUUGGAACAUUGAUUGUGCAGUUUGAUGGUUCAGAAUAAGUAGAAAUACAGCAUAAAAACUUAACUUUUACUUGAAACAACAAUAGAGCAUACAGUAACCAUACGUGCCUGCUGUAGCCCCUGUGCCAAGUAAAUUUCAAUUCUCCUUUUUACAUCCUAAUCUUAUCAGAGCGCUGGUAACAUGUUUCACAUUUCUGUCAGCCAACUAACCUGUCUUGUAACAGUAAAAAUGUGCCAACUGUGUUUUUUAACAACAUGCUAGAAUAUGCAGGCAGUUCGCUUAGAAAACUAAAGCCAUAGAAUCAAUACAGUGAUGCGACUUUCGGUUUGCAUGUCACAGGUUGAGAAAAAUAAGGUGGGAGCUGUUUCCAAUGUUCCGACUAGAUAGCAAAGCUAGCAUAAAAGGUUGCACACCACUGAGCUCUACUAUGGGGGGCUGGAUAGCGCAUUGAGCGCCUUCGACUGAAGCCAACCUUGUCCCAGAAGUUGGUACUUCACGACUUUGCUGUGGCAUUUCACCUGCACAGGAGUGCGGCAUUUCUGCUAUAAUGCUUGCCCUUUGUGCCGCAAGCUACCGAAGCAAUCCAGAGAAGUAUGUCGAGAAGACGUCCAGAAUUUUCCUUCACAGCACUGACAGCAUCGCUAACAUGAGUGGCACGUGCUGAAAACACUUGUCAAUCAGAAAAUGCUUUCUGUAAGAAAAACUCAUCACGUACGGGUUCAGAACAUCGUAACAGCUCUCACCAGACAUGUGGAGACAUCGCCUAGAUGUGGAAAACCACGAUGAAAAAUUUUUAUGGCAGCAAUAUUGUGCAACGGCACACACUAGUAAGUGCAGCGUAUGCCCUACUUUUGGGACAAGCCGCUGCACGACACUGCAUUUCCGCUGGCUUCAUCUACCCCUGGCUCUGGGCAGCGAAGCGGCAUCCAGCAAAACAUAGUAGAGAUCAGUGGUGCACAUAGUAUUUAAUGUCCCCUUUCUCGAUGCCAGCUGAACACACGGUAACUGUUUCCAAAGCAGAAAAACUAAGGGCAAGGGCUCUGUACACAUUGCAUCGUAAUGUGGCUGAUGCUUGGGCAAAGCAAAUACUGUGCAUGGUAGAUUUGUGUGAGGCAAGCUAGGAGUCAAAAAGCCUGCUGCAUACUAGCAAAUGACCAACAUAUUGUUGCAUGUUGAAAUUCUUUUUUUAUUCCUCAUCACUCAUUUGUGUAGGGGAGACGGCUCUCACAACUGGAGAAGCCUGGGAAGCAUGCAGUACUCCACAAAACCAGUUUCAACGUAAAAUGUGUCUGCAUCUCAUAAUUUCAUGGCUGCAAGAGUGAGCCCAAUGCCUGUCGAGACAAGGUUUCUGUACAUGGCCAUGGCGCUCAAGGAAGAAACCGAGACUGUAGACUGCCAACGUUCAUUCCUGUUCCGGCAAAGACGGGCCAGCAGUGACCAGCAGGAUUUUACAAAGUGAACUCAUCACAGCUUGAGCCACUCCAUGCCACAAGCAGUUGCUCCUCGAGCCACCGUGCAAAGGUUCCUUGGGGCACAAGUCCAACUCAGCGCCACAACCUUUCUUCUGCAGUUUUUCUACCUACUUAGCUAACCAGCAGCAAGUUUAUCCUUGCAAGGCAUGUGGGAACAGCUUUCACCAGGAAAAGUACAAGACGAGUGGUCGAAGAAAAUAAAAUUGCUUCUGUGAUCUAAAGUACUUGACGAAUAAAAUUUUGCACUUAUUU